rnacentral:lncRNA from 1 species
AUUCGGGUAGGUUUGCUGUGUGCGGGUUCCUGCAGAUCCAGGGCAAGCUAGAACGUUACUUCACGGCUGCGUCUGCCCGGCUUGUGUAAAAGUUGUCACGGUUCAUGCGUCCAUUGCGUGAGUCACCGUAGACUCUUAAAGGCAACAGAUUCGGGAUGACCCUUGCGAUUGCUUUGAAACAACUCGCGGGUUGAACGCAAACAUGAGUUGUAGAGGAUUUAAUUUUUAACCCGUUUUGCCUUCCGGUUACUCUGUGACCGAAUUAGUGCUAGAUUGCUAGCCGCACACCUUGACUAGACGCUAGGGUAAAAGCUCAGAAAAGCAGUAACUUCCUUGGUGGUUUCCAGAGAGGCAGGAAUAGUGCAAUGAUUAGGCCAGCAGCACCCUAGAGAUUUUUACCUCAGGCUUCUCACAGUCCUGGCCUGAUAACGUUCCUGUAUGGUUUUGUUUCAAAAUGAGUGGCCGCUAUUUAGAACAAAGUAUCAAAUUUUGCGUAAAAUCGAACACGUCUGCAAGUAAGACCCACCACUUUUGAAAGAAGCGUAUGGGGGUGAAGUGGUGUCGAGGGCUUGAGUAUUUGACUGGCACAAAAGGUUUAAAGAAGGGUGGGAAAAUGUCUGAGAUGAUCCAUGAAGUAGUCGUCCAGUCACCCACAGAACGGAUGCAAAUAUCCAAAAGGUCACGGACUUUGUGUGAACAAGCAGUUAACAGUGAGAAGGAUGGCUGAAGAAAUUACAUUUAGAGAAAGAAACCAUUAGAUUCAUUCUGAAAGGAAACCUGAACACGAGAAAAACGUCUGUCAAAGCUAUAGCAAGUAUUUUGAAGGAUCAGCCUGAACUUGGGGAAAUUUGAGUGUCCAUCUGGUCAUUCAAAGGAAAUUAAGAACGCUAGUUUAUAGGUGAGGGAAAAGAGGACAAGUUCUGAGAUGUGGAGUUAGCUGCAGCAGAGUGCUGAUGAGGAAAUGGCUCUGCCUGUGUAGAAUCCCAGAAGUCGGGCCCCUGCCAGCCACCUUCUGCAGGGAGCAUGCUCAGAGAGUAGGAGAUCUGACGACUGCUACGGUAUCAGACAUGGAGAUGCAGCGUUUGGAGUUUGCCCAGCUGGUUUCCUGUCUUGCUAUUGGGAUUACAAUAAAGUGAUUGGAUGAAUCUCAGAAGAGACUUUGAACUUUUUUUUAAAAGAUUUUAUUUAUUUAUUUUAUGUAUAUGAGUACGCUGUAGCUGUCUUCAGACACACCAGAAGAGGGCAUUGGAUCCCAUUACAGAUGGUUGUGAGCCACCAUGUGGUUGCUGGGAAUUGAACUCAGGACCUCUGGAAGAGCAGUCAGAUCUAACCAUUGAGCCAUCUCUCCAGCAACUCUGAACUUUUAACAUUGUUGAGCUGCUAUAGACUGGGGACUCUGGAAAUUAGACUAAAUGUAUUUUGUAUUAUGCUAUGUUUAGCUGUGGCCCUUAUAGCCUCAUAUGUUUGAACAAGUCUGUGGGGGCCAGGGAGUGAAAUGUGAUGGUUUGUAUGUGCUUGGCCCAGGGAGUGACCCUAUUAGGAGGUGUGGCCUUUAGCAGAUGUGUAACUGUGGGUGUGGGCUUAAGACCCUAACCCUACCUGCCUGGAAGUCAGUCUUCCACUAACAGCCUUCAGAUGAAGAUGGAGAACUCUCAGCUUCUGCACCAUGCCUGCCUGGAUGCUGCCAUGUCCCCGCCUUGAUGAUAAUGGACUAAACCUCUAAACCUAUAAGCCAGCCCCAAUGAAAUGUUGGCCUUUUUAAGACUUGCCUUGGUCAUGGUGUCUGUUCACAGCAGUAAAACGCUAAGACACCCAGCAGUAGUCAAACAGCAGCAGGAUGUCUCAGGUUUGGGGGAAGAGGAAUUACCGCCCUAACUUAGUCCAGAGCAAAGCACUUUGAAAUGGCUGUGCACCGUCAAUGAACACGACAGAGAUCAUAAUGACCUAGGUGGCAGAAGAGUUCCCACUAACUCUGAAGUGCCUGCUUGCUGUCCUGUCCUGGACCUUACUUCACAGCUCUCUUAGGUUCCUAAUUCUGUACACUCAGAUCCAGCCAUGAUCCCAUAUCUCAGUGUUUUCUCAGUGCCCUGCAGACACUCAUUUUCUUGUCUAGCUUGCUCUUGGUUCUCAGAUUCCCUGUUGUUUGAUUCUGGGCCACCCUUCCAGGUGUGUCUGCUUUGGGGCUUUGGUUUGGUACGCAUUUCCACUCACACAGCUCUCUCCUUUCUGAUUUUUGGGCCCGUGUUCCUGCCCAUGACUUAAGCUGUGGUCCAGACAUGUGGAGCAGAGAGUUCUUCAGCCCUGGCUCUAAAUUGUCUUCCUGUAAUUCAAGAAAUGGGAUAGGGAGGGAUGGCAUAGAGGCUAAUGACCAAGCCCUGCUACCAUUAGCAAGCCCAGUAUAAUCAGUAUUACCCAGUUUCUCAAGGCUUGGUUACCUCUAGAAGCCUUUCCAAACCUUAACAUCUAUAUAACAACUCUAUUUUUCCCAGGUCAGUGGGGCCUGGCUGGCUGUGGCUGUCAACAGAGCUGGCCAUCUGCAUACCUUGACCCAUUCUCAAGCUUGCUAAUGUGUGGCUUCCCAAUUGACCUUACUCCCCACCCUCACGUCCACACCUAUUCCAUGUAGUUUCUUGUGCCUCUGCUAACAGUCUAGGAGGAAUAGGUCCUGUCGAGGAAAGAUCACCUCAUCUUGCUUCAUAUGAUCCCCAAAGUAAAGAAUCACCUGUUUACCAAAUUUGUGACUUGGGGGAAAAAAAACCCCACAAAGAUGGUAGUCUCCUAAAUUUUGUCCCUGUCUGAGUGAUUGAAAUGACAACAUCAAGAUGAACGUAGUAUAUGCCUGCAGUCCCAGCACUAGGAGGCUAAGGCAGAAGUGUGGGUUCAAAUCCAUCCUGGGCAACAUAGUAAAGACCCUAUUUCAAAAAAGAAGGGGAAAAAGGAAGCUCUCUCAUUUGGGAAGAAGGGUUGUAGUCCUACAUCCUGCUUUCUAGAGUGUUCUUUCAGAUCCAUUUCCUGUUCUCAGUCCACAUUUGCUGUGGAGAUGUCUGGAAGGAUCUGGAUGGAAAAUGACUUGAAGACACUUAAUAAAGGAGCAGAGUGCUGCUGAGGAGCUGCCACUGUGCUGCACACACUGCUCAGACUGCCUGCUGUUUCCAGAUGUGCCGCCAGCAUGUCUCACUAGGCUCUGGGGACAGUGUCCCAGGUCCCAGGUUUCUCAAUGAGCAAGAGCCUGUUUUAGCUUUUGAACUGUGUGCCUGCUCACACUGCAGUCUCCAGGUGAAGCUUCAGUUUGAUCAGCCCUCCUCAAUUUUCUAGGCUUUUGCAUCUUAUCCUAGGCAGCCAUGCAUUGUUCUGUGAUCUCUGCCUUGUCUGAUCCUGGUAAUGUGGUACCGCUUGUAUCACACUUCACCCCAUAAUAAUACCUACAAACAAAUCUGAUGGGGGCCCUUCCAAGGACCCACUUGGGCCUAGUGCAGUUGUCAGCAGACUGUAUAGGAAACACUAUAUUUUGUGAGCCAUCCAGUUUCUUAGUACAAAAGCAGACAGAGCUCAUAUGGAAACAUGAGUGUGGCUGCGUUCCAGUGAAACUAUAAAUGGAUCUUGGAAUUGGAAUUUCAUAGUUUUCAUAAAAUAUUUUGAUUUCUUCCCCCAGUCAUUUUUAAAU